rnacentral:rRNA from 1 species
UACGAAGGGUGCUAGCGUUGUUCGGAAUUACUGGGCGUAAAGCGCGCGUAGGCGGCUUGUCAAGUCAGGGGUGAAAUCCUGGAGCUCAACUCCAGAACUGCCUUUGAUACUGAAGAUCUUGAGUCCGGGAGAGGUGAGUGGAACUGCGAGUGUAGAGGUGAAAUUCGUAGAUAUUCGCAAGAACACCAGUGGCGAAGGCGGCUCACUGGCCCGGUACUGACGCUGAGGCACGAAAGCGUGGGGAGCAAACAGG